UACGUAGGUGGCAAGCGUUGUCCGGAUUAUUGGGUUUAAAGGGUGCGUAGGCGGCUUUGUAAGUCAGUGGUGAAAUAUGGCAGCUUAACUGUCAGGGUGCCAUUGAUACUGCGGAGCUUGAGUACAGAUGAGGUAGGCGGAAUUGACGGUGUAGCGGUGAAAUGCUUAGAUAUCGUCAAGAACACCUAUAGCGAAGGCAGCUUACUAGGCUGUAACUGACGCUGAGGCACGAAAGUGUGGGGAUCAAACAGGG
rnacentral:rRNA from 1 species